GACGAACGCUGGCGGCGUGCUUAACACAUGCAAGUCGAACGGAAAGGCCCUGCUUUUGUGGGGUGCUCGAGUGGCGAACGGGUGAGUAACACGUGAGUAACCUGCCCUUGACUUUGGGAUAACUUCAGGAAACUGGGGCUAAUACCGGAUAGGAGCUCCUGCUGCAUGGGGGGGGUUGGAAAGUUUCGGCGGUUGGGGUUGGACUCGCGGCUUAUCAGCUUGUUGGGGGGGUAGUGGCUUACCAAGGCUUUGACGGGUAGCCGGCCUGAGAGGGUGACCGGCCACAUUGGGACUGAGAUACGGCCCAGACUCCUACGGGAGGCAGCAGUGGGGAAUAUUGCACAAUGGGCGGAAGCCUGAUGCAGCAACGCCGCGUGCGGGAUGACGGCCUUCGGGUUGUAAACCGCUUUCGCCUGUGACGAAGCGUGAGUGACGGUAAUGGGUAAAGAAGCACCGGCUAACUACGUG
rnacentral:rRNA from 1 species